GUGACUUUGCAAUAUCCUUGUUAUCGGACAUGUGGUCGACCAACUUGCGUACCUCCUCCUCCCCAGCAACGAAGCCACGCCCGACAUCAAAGCCAAUACUGAGCUGUUGACUCAUCCUACGCUUGAUGAAGUCCAGAAUAAGAUGGCAGAUUUGGUACAUCAGGCUUUACCUUCACACCUGGUUGUGUCAGUAACAAAUAACUACGAUUGUUAGACAUACCUCUAGCAGUCUGAACACGCGGAUGGUACGCAGGAUGAUGCACAUGAGGGACACGAUGUGCACGGCUCCAUGUAGCUCCCCAUACAUGGCAGGUAGAACAAAACUCUGGAUGAUGUCUGGCACACCAAUGACAAUUAUUACAAUACACAUCCAGUGCCACGUGUUUGUUAUGUACGCCCUCUUCUGGACGAUCACCUGAAACGAAGGAAGUUACUCAAGUUAGAGAGUCACAUCUAGAUCUGGAUCUAUAUUUUGUUGGUUUAAAACAUUAUUAUCUGAGUACAGUAAGUGUGAAAAAAAUUGAGUCAGCCUAAAACUAUUUUAAUUUGGUUAAAACAUUACUAUUAGUACUGAUAAACUAAAGAUAUCUUAGUUGAGUAGUGGAUAUGGUGUCCGCCUAGCGAUCGGGAGGUCAUGGGUUCUAUCUCCACUGUGGGAGAGUUCUUUAGAUUUCCCCCAUAGACAUUAAGUACUGGUUCUAGUCCCAGGAAACGAACUCAAGAGCAUUUCAAAUAAGUAUGAGGCUUUCUAUGCAAUUCAGCUAAAAUAAAUAGGUUCAUACUAAACUUAAAAUAUCAUAAUAAAGAUUUACUGGAUG